rnacentral:rRNA from 1 species
AAUGCUUUACACAUGCAAGUCGAGCGGCAGCGCGGGGCAACCUGGCGGCGAGCGGCGAACGGGUGAGUAAUGCAUCGGAACAUGUCCAUUCGUGGGGGAUAGCCCGGCGAAAGCCGGAUUAAUACCGCAUACGCCCUUUGGGGGAAAGCGGGGGACCGUAAGGCCUCGCGCGAAUGGGUUGGCCGAUGCCCGAUUAGCUAGUUGGUGAGGUAAAGGCUUACCAAGGCGAUGAUCGGUAGCUGGUCUGAGAGGAUGAUCAGCCACACUGGGACUGAGACACGGCCCAG